GAGAGGUUGGGCAGGUGACAUGUGGAGGAAGGAGGUGGCCUCCCAGUCUAGCGCUGAGGCAGCUUCCCCUCCCAUGACUGUGACCAUGGGUGAAAGCCCGUGAUUAGCGAUGUGGGUAUUUGCCAGCUGGCCAAUUACAGGGAUGUGCAGUGAUCAGAGGGCAGGGUAGAGGAAUCUCAGUUCCCGCCUGGGACCGCCAGCAUUCCCUGAGCACAGGGCUCCCCCGCGUGGAGGUCGUGGGCAAACUCACUGUUGAACCAGAGGAAAGAGCCUUUACUCUCUGAUUAACACUGAGCUGAAGAACUCACAGAAUUGGGAGCUGUUUUAUUAUCUUCUCAUAUCUCAAGGCUUCCUCCUCCGUGCAGAACUGAUUGUAUCUUGGUUCUCUUUACUCUCUGUCAGAUUGACUCGAUGACAGAGAAAUGGGUCGUUGAUGCCGCCGUGGAGGUUCUGCUACGGUUCCCACUGAUGCCGGGAGAGGAUCCAGGUGCCCGGUGUGUCUCCAGUAAGAAAUGUCAGCCUUCAGUGGACCGGCUCACGGCUUCACAAAGACGCAAAGACCAAGAGGAGAGGUGGGACAAAUGUCAGGAGUGACGUGGGUAGAGCCUGGGGGAAAAUCCCCUCCGGGCGCAGGUGUGGGCUGUAGGCUUCUGCUCAGACCAAGGUGGGGGGGGGUGAGGAAGGGGCUUCUGACUUGUGUGUCCCUCACCGUCGCACAGGCUUUUCUCUGUGAGCUUGCACGUGGAUGUGAGCUGGCACGGGCGUCCACAGGUUGCGUGUCCCCGUGUGACUUUGUGCAUGCCUCUGUUGAGAACUGGCAUGUGGUUACGGGGGUCACGUACGACAUUUCACAGGUGUUCAUCAGUGUCACAUCAAAUCUCUGCAAACCUUUGUCAGAGGAAAUGGCAGGUUUUCUCAGGAAGAUGUUGUUCUAUGAAAAUUGUGAGUUUUCUGGAAAUGUGUAGGGGGGAAAACUCAAUAGUGUUGGCCUGCUUAUUGGUUUUGAUAAAUAUGGGUGAAUGCUUUAAGCUUGGAGGAAGCAGUUGGACAAAAACCCAGCACACAGGCCUGAGCGACACUGAGGUUUUCGGGGAGGACCUGUACAGACAUUCAUGGCUGCCAAUCUCAUUUCACCAUGUUUAUUCCAAGUGGCCUUUUCUCAGGCAGUGUCCUAUUCUGGGAGUACGUCAUGAUGGAAAACAGGUCACAAAAUGGCACACAAUGGGACCUCAGUUCAUGAGAAGACCCCAUCACUGGGGGGUCACUCAGUGAUCAGCGAGUCCCCCACCCAUUCCAUGCAGAGAGGUAAAAGGCUAUGAGGGACUUCUGUCUCCGUGUCUACAUCUUUUUUUUUUUUUCUUUGCUUGUGAAUAGGAAAUCCAACAAUCAGGUCCUGAGGAAGAAUGACCAGAGGCCCGAGGACAUGAGGCAGAUGGCACGUCAUUACAUACACCAGCGGCCCAUAAGACUCCCCAUGACUCAGAACCUGAAGAAGCUCCAGAAGGGACCGGUGGGGCAGAGGAAUCCCCCACCAGAAGAGGAGAAUACCAGGGUGAAAUGCAAGAACUGUGGAGCCUUUGGGCACCUGGCCAGCAGCAGAAGGUGCCCCAUGAAGUGCUGGGGUGGGGCCCUUGCCCCCCAGCCCUUGGGCUCCAGUAAGAAUGAAAACCUGGAACCCAGGAGGCCUCAGGACUGCCACACCCCAGGGUCCUUCCACACGACUGGCAGCGGGAAGGACCCAGGACAGAGGUGAGGACUCGCGCGGUCAGAAUGAUUGGGGCAACGGAGCCCCGAGGACGGGGAGCCCCUCCCCCUGCUGUCCCCGUGCAGCUGUGUCAGGCACGGACCAGGAGAGAAGUAGGCAAGCGGUGCCCGGGGUUGACCUCAGAGCUCCCUCGAGCCCUCGGGACUUCCAAGGAGUCGGGCCGGGAAUAUCUAUCUUGGGGUGUUGCACGCGGCAGAGGCGCAGGGGGUCUAAGUGAGAGUAUUUCAUGCCGAAGCCACGGCGGGGAAGGGGACGCUUCCUGGAAGCGGGGGCUGCGCUGAGGUCCCGGAAGGAGCUGCCUUGGCAAAGUCCACAGGGGCUUCGGGGCCUCCGUCGCCCCUAAACCAGGCCGACGACUGGGCUCCGGGGUCUUCUUGGUUCGCAGUCAGUGGUGGCGACCGGGGUCGGGCGCAUCCGACAGUUCCCGCGGUUUGUUCCGCAGGCAAGAAGGGCGGAAAGAGAAAGACCUGCCCCGGAAAUUACCCGGGAGACCCCAGCGGAAGCCGCAGAGCGCCUGCAGGGAAGCCGCGGACUCGGGCGCCCACCUGCGGCGCCCCACCAGGCCGUUGCCCGUCCAAACCAAUACGAAGCCAUCUGUCCUGGGCCCUGUCCCCACGGGUCAGCCACCUGCUAGGACAGCUGACAUGCGGUCGUCCUGCCCUACACGGCCCCUCUAUAAAGCCCCUGAAGUGCGUGCUUGUGAACCAGCCCAAAGAUGCGGGGCGGACUUGCCCUGCGAAGAUCCAAAGAGCUCCUGCCGGGACCAGGCUCUCAUUUCCAAGUCGACAGCCGGCUGGCCUCAGGUUUCCUCCCGUGAUGUUCCCCCGUCGGCCAGGAAGACACUGGCCCUGGGUCCUGUGUGUCACCGCCAGGCACAAGCCAAGCAUCCUCCUGUGGACUCAAAGCCCCGCCCACAGCCUGCCACGGGAACACAUGGCCAGAGCUCCAAAGUCAGCAUCCAGGCACAGGGGAAGAGGUCUCCCCAGGUCCCCAUGCAGCCUUCCCAGAACCCUCCAAAGAAAGCAAGAUUCAACUUCUUCUAACCCCCCCCCCCAGGUGGGUCUCAGUGACCUGGUCUGGGGGUU